GACGAACGCUGGCGGCGUGCUUAACACAUGCAAGUCGAACGGAAAGGCCCUGCUUUUGUGGGGUGCUCGAGUGGCGAACGGGUGAGUAACACGUGAGUAACCUGCCCUUGACUUUGGGAUAACUUCAGGAAACUGGGGCUAAUACCGGAUAGGAGCUCCUGCUGCAUGGUGGGGGUUGGAAAGUUUCGGCGGUUGGGGAUGGACUCGCGGCUUAUCAGCUUGUUGGUGGGGUAGUGGCUUACCAAGGCUUUGACGGGUAGCCGGCCUGGGAGGGUGACCGGCCACAUUGGGACUGCGAUACGGCCCAGACUCCUACGGGAGGCAGCAGUGGGGAAUAUUGCACAAUGGGCGGAAGCCUGAUGCAGCAACGCCGCGUGCGGGAUGACGGCCUUCGGGUUGUAAACCGCUUUCGCCUGUGACGAAGCGUGAGUGAUGGUAAUGGGUAAAGAAGCACCGGCUAACUACGUG
rnacentral:rRNA from 1 species